GGAAUUUUCCGCAAUGGGCGAAAGCCUGACGGAGCAACGCCGCGUGAGGGAUGAAGGCCUCUGGGCUGUAAACCUCUUUUAUCAAGGAAGAAGAUCUGACGGUACUUGAUGAAUAAGCCACGGCUAAUUCCGUGCCAGCAGCCGCGGUAAUACGGGAGUGGCAAGCGUUAUCCGGAAUUAUUGGGCGUAAAGCGUCCGCAGGCGGCCUUGUAAGUCUGUUGUUAAAGCGUGGAGCUUAACUCCAUUUAAGCAAUGGAAACUGCAAGGCUUGAGUGUGGUAGGGGCAGAGGGAACUCCCGGUGUAGCGGUGAAUGCGUAGAUAUCGGGAAGAACACCAGUGGCGAAGGCGCUCUGCUGGGCCAUAACUGACGCUCAUGGACGAAAGCCAGGGGAGCGAAAGGGAUUAGAUACCCCUGUAGUC
rnacentral:rRNA from 1 species